AACAUACCCCAAUGAAGUAUCAGAAUGUACCUUGCGUUAACUCGCACAAAUACAACUUUCAACAACGGAUCUCUUGGCUCUCGCAUCGAUGAAGAACGCAGCGAAAUGCGAUAAGUAAUGUGAAUUGCAGAAUUCAGUGAAUCAUCGAAUCUCUGAACGCACCUUGCGCCCCUUGGCAUUCCGAGGGGCACGCCUGUUUGAGUGUCGUGAACUCCUCCACCCUCUACCUUUUUCGGAAGGCACUGGGCUGGGAUUUGGGAGCUUGCGGGUCCCUGGCCGAUCCGCUCUCCUUGAAUACAUUAGCGAAGCCCUUGCGGCCUUGGUGUGAUAGUCAUCUGCGCCUUGGCUUAGCGAACACAUGGGAAUCGCUUCCAACCGUCUCGCAAGAGACAAUCACUACCAACUUGACCUCAAAUCAGGCGGGACUACCCGCUGAACUUAAGCAUAUCAAUAAGCGGAGGAAAAGAAACUAACAAGGAUUCCCCUAGUAACUGCGAGUGAAGCGGGAUGAGCUCAAAUUUAAAAUCUGGCGUCUUCGGCGUCCGAGUUGUAAUUUAGAGAAGCGUCUUCCGCGC
rnacentral:rRNA from 1 species